CCUGGCUCACAUGAACGCUGGCGGCGCGCCUAACACAUGCAAGUCGAACGAGCGAGAGAGAGCUUGCUUUCUCAAGCGAGUGGCGAACGGGUGAGUAACGCGUGAGGAACCUGCCUCAAAGAGGGGGACAACAGUUGGAAACGACUGCUAAUACCGCAUAAGCCCACGGCUCGGCAUCGAGCAGAGGGAAAAGGAGCAAUCCGCUUUGAGAUGGCCUCGCGUCCGAUUAGCUAGUUGGUGAGGUAACGGCCCACCAAGGCGACGAUCGGUAGCCGGACUGAGAGGUUGAACGGCCACAUUGGGACUGAGACACGGCCCAGACUCCUACGGGAGGCAGCAGUGGGGAAUAUUGCACAAUGGGGGAAACCCUGAUGCAGCGACGCCGCGUGGAGGAAGAAGGUCUUCGGAUUGUAAACUCCUGUUGUUGAGGAAGAUAAUGACGGUACUCAACAAGGAAGUGACGGCUAACUACGUGCCAGCAGCCGCGGUAAAACGUAGGUCACAAGCGUUGUCCGGAAUUACUGGGUGUAAAGGGAGCGCAGGCGGGAAGACAAGUUGGAAGUGAAAUCCAUGGGCUCAACCCAUGAACUGCUUUCAAAACUGUUUUUCUUGAGUAGUGCAGAGGUAGGCGGAAUUCCCGGUGUAGCGGUGGAAUGCGUAGAUAUCGGGAGGAACACCAGUGGCGAAGGCGGCCUACUGGGCACCAACUGACGCUGAGGCUCGAAAGUGUGGGUAGCAAACAGGAUUAGAUACCCUGGUAGUCCACACUGUAAACGAUGAUUACUAGGUGUUGGAGGAUUGACCCCUUCAGUGCCGCAGUUAACACAAUAAGUAAUCCACCUGGGGAGUACGACCGCAAGGUUGAAACUCAAAGGAAUUGACGGGGGCCCGCACAAGCAGUGGAGUAUGUGGUUUAAUUCGACGCAACGCGAAGAACCUUACCAAGUCUUGACAUCCCUUGACGAUGCUGGAAACAGUAUUUCUCUUCGGAGCAAGGAGACAGGUGGUGCAUGGUUGUCGUCAGCUCGUGUCGUGAGAUGUUGGGUUAAGUCCCGCAACGAGCGCAACCCUUAUGGUCAGUUACUACGCAAGAGGACUCUGGCCAGACUGCCGUUGACAAAACGGAGGAAGGUGGGGAUGACGUCAAAUCAUCAUGCCCUUUAUGACUUGGGCUACACACGUACUACAAUGGCGUUAAACAAAGAGAAGCAAGACCGCGAGGUGGAGCAAAACUCAGAAACAACGUCCCAGUUCGGACUGCAGGCUGCAACUCGCCUGCACGAAGUCGGAAUUGCUAGUAAUCGCAGAUCAGCAUGCUGCGGUGAAUACGUUCCCGGGCCUUGUACACACCGCCC
rnacentral:rRNA from 1 species